rnacentral:lncRNA from 1 species
UUUAGUGUUUUCUGAGUUAUUGAUCUCAUUAUGGCUAAGGCAAGGCUUGUCUGGUAUGGUUUUGGGUGCUCAUGCUCCUAUCUUGCCUGCUUCGGAUGUUCAUUCAAGUCAUAAGGAUCGGGCACUUUUGUUGGCAUUUUUCGAUUGUUGUUUGUUGGUUCUUAAGAGCUGACGAGAUUCGUCCCCGGCACUAUCACUAUAACAAUUAGCUUCCGGAUCUCUAUUUCCUACUCAAGGAAGCUGUCUUUUCACGAUAUAAAACUCUUGGCAAGAGAUUACGAAUG